rnacentral:rRNA from 1 species
GACGAACGCUGGCGGCGUGCCUAAUACAUGCAAGUAGAACGCUGAAGGAGGAGCUUGCUUCUCUGGAUGAGUUGCGAACGGGUGAGUAACGCGUAGGUAACCUGCCUGGUAGCGGGGGAUAACUAUUGGAAACGAUAGCUAAUACCGCAUAAGAGUAGAUGUUGCAUGACAUUUGCUUAAAAGGUGCAAUUGCAUCACUACCAGAUGGACCUGCGUUGUAUUAGCUAGUUGGUGGGGUAACGGCUCACCAAGGCGACGAUACAUAGCCGACCUGAGAGGGGGAGCGGCCACACUGGGACGGAGACACGGCCCAGACUCCUACGGGAGGCAGCAGGAGGGAAUCGUCGGCAAUGGACGGAAGUCUGACCGAGCAACGCCGCGUGAGUGAAGAAGGUUGUCGGAUCGGAAAGCUCUGUUGUAAGAGAAGAACGAGUGUGAGAGUGGAAAGUUCACACUGUGACGGUAUCUUACCAGAAAGGGACGGCUAACUACGUG